rnacentral:rRNA from 1 species
GACGAACCGUCCAAACGUUAUUCGGAAUCACUGGGCUUAAAGGGUGCGUAGGCGGCGCGGAUAGUUGGGUGUGAAAUCCCUCGGCUCAACCGAGGAACUGCGCCCAAUACUUCCGUGCUUGAGGAAGAUAGAGGAGAGCGGAACUUAGGGUGGAGCGGUGAAAUGCGUUGAUAUCCUAAGGAACACCGGUGGCGAAAGCGGCUCACUGGAUCUUUUUUGACGCUGAGGCGCGAAAGCUAGGGUAGCAAACGGG